rnacentral:rRNA from 1 species
AGAGUUUGAUCCUGGCUCAGAAAGAACGCUGGCGGCAUGCUUAACACAUGCAAGUCGAACGGAUAGUAGCAAUACUAUUAGUGGCAAACGGGUGAGUAACACGUAGGAAUCUACCCUGUAGUACGGAACAACAGUUGGAAACGACUGCUAAUACCGCAUACGCUUCUUCGGAAGGAAAGAUUUAUCGCUAUAGGAUGAGC